rnacentral:rRNA from 1 species
CCUACGGGGCGCAGCAGUGAGGAAUAUUGGUCAAUGGACGGAAGUCUGAACCAGCCAUGCCGCGUGCGGGAAGACGGCUCUAUGAGUUGUAAACUGCUUUUGUACAAGGGUAAACCUGAAUACGUGUAUUCAGCUGAAAGUACUGUACGAAUAAGGAUCGGCUAACUCCGUGCCAGCCGCCGCGGUAAUACGGAGGAUCCACUCGUUAUACGGAUUUAUUGGGUUUAAAGGGUGGGUAGGCGGAUUGAUAAGUUAGAGGUGAAAUGUCCGAGCUUAACUCGGGAACUGCCUCUAAUACUGUUGAUCUAGAGAGUAGAUGCGGUAGGCGGAAUGUAUGGUGGAGCGGUGAAAGGCUUAGAGAUCAUACAGAACACCGAUUGCGAAGGCAGCUUACCAAUCUAUAUCUGACGUUGAGGCACGAAAGCGUGGGGAGCAAACAGGAUUAGAUACCCCGGUAGUC